rnacentral:rRNA from 1 species
GACAGAGGUGGCAAGCGUUGUUCGGAUUUAUUGGGUGUAAAGGGCAGGUAGGCGGUCGGGCAAGUCCGGCGUGAAAUCCCAUGGCUCAACCGUGGAACUGCGUUGGAAACUGCCUGACUUGAGUACCGGAGAGGUGAAGGGAAUUCUCGGUGUAAGGGUGAAAUCUGUAGAUAUCGAGAGGAACACCAGUGGCGAAGGCGGCAAUCUGGACAGAUAUUGACGCUGAUGUACGAAAGCGUGGGGAGCAAACAGG